AAUAUAAGGUAUUUUGAGUUUUUGCUUGCAACAUUUGACCACUCGUCUUAUUCAAAAUUUUUUGAAAUUAUUAUUUAUUUUAUUUGUGACUUACUUUAUUAUCUAUAGUAUUUUAAACACAACUUUUCGUUUUUUAUAUUUACAAAAAAAAAUCAAAUAAGACGAGUGGUCAAACGUUGCAAGCAAAAACUCAAAAUCCCUUAUA
rnacentral:pre_miRNA from 2 species